rnacentral:rRNA from 1 species
UUUAUGGAGAGUUUGAUCCUGGCUCAGGAUGAACGCUGGCGGCGUGCCUAAUACAUGCAAGUCGAGCGAACGGACGAGAAGCUUGCUUCUCUGAUGUUAGCGGCGGACGGGUGAGUAACACGUGGAUAACCUACCUAUAAGACUGGGAUAACUUCGGGAAACCGGAGCUAAUACCGGAUAAUAUUUUGAACCGCAUGGUUCAAAAGUGAAAGACGGUCUUGCUGUCACUUAUAGAUGGAUCCGCGCUGCAUUAGCUAGUUGGUAAGGUAACGGCUUACCAAGGCAACGAUGCAUAGCCGACCUGAGAGGGUGAUCGGCCACACUGGAACUGAGACACGGUCCAGACUCCUACGGGAGGCAGCAGUAGGGAAUCUUCCGCAAUGGGCGAAAGCCUGACGGAGCAACGCCGCGUGAGUGAUGAAGGUCUUCGGAUCGUAAAACUCUGUUAUUAGGGAAGAACAUAUGUGUAAGUAACUGUGCACAUCUUGACGGUACCUAAUCAGAAAGCCACGGCUAACUACGUGCCAGCAGCCGCGGUAAUACGUAGGUGGCAAGCGUUAUCCGGAAUUAUUGGGCGUAAAGCGCGCGUAGGCGGUUUUUUAAGUCUGAUGUGAAAGCCCACGGCUCAACCGUGGAGGGUCAUUGGAAACUGGAAAACUUGAGUGCAGAAGAGGAAAGUGGAAUUCCAUGUGUAGCGGUGAAAUGCGCAGAGAUAUGGAGGAACACCAGUGGCGAAGGCGACUUUCUGGUCUGUAACUGACGCUGAUGUGCGAAAGCGUGGGGAUCAAACAGGAUUAGAUACCCUGGUAGUCCACGCCGUAAACGAUGAGUGCUAAGUGUUAGGGGGUUUCCGCCCCUUAGUGCUGCAGCUAACGCAUUAAGCACUCCGCCUGGGGAGUACGACCGCAAGGUUGAAACUCAAAGGAAUUGACGGGGACCCGCACAAGCGGUGGAGCAUGUGGUUUAAUUCGAAGCAACGCGAAGAACCUUACCAAAUCUUGACAUCCUUUGACAACUCUAGAGAUAGAGCCUUCCCCUUCGGGGGACAAAGUGACAGGUGGUGCAUGGUUGUCGUCAGCUCGUGUCGUGAGAUGUUGGGUUAAGUCCCGCAACGAGCGCAACCCUUAAGCUUAGUUGCCAUCAUUAAGUUGGGCACUCUAAGUUGACUGCCGGUGACAAAC